CGACCUUGCCGUUUACAUUCAGUUGAAUCAGGUGUUGUCUCGCUUCUGACGUUUAUAUCUUCGACAUUUUUAUCGGCUUUUCCUUGUCGUUUGCGUGCGACAUUCAAAGGUUGAAUCCUAAAUGAUAAAGAGAUUCUCGCAUUACGGAAUAGAGAAUGGCUGAUUUUCAGCGAGACACAAGAAUGAAUCUGGAAGAUUGUACAAGAAAAGAUAUCAUUUCUCUGUGCUCGUGGUCAGAUGAGAAUCACCUUGGAAU